AUGUAAAUUAAAUAACGUCGUCGUAUAAAACUGAGAAUAAGGCUCAGAAGUUUCUACCAAGUUACCGUAAAUGACUUGACUACGAUUGAAUAGAUCAUUCUA
rnacentral:ncRNA from 2 species